GAAGUGCGAUAAGUAAUGUGAAUUGCAGAAUUCCGUGAAUCAUCGAAUCUUUGAACGCAAAUUGCACUCUCUUCGGAGAGUAUGCCUGUUUGAGGGUCAGUGUAAUGAAAAUCGGGGUGUUGCUUUUUUUGUGAUGCUUCGGAGUUUGGGUCAUCUUAGCCUUCGGGCUAAGAGGCCUAAAAUUGAGUCACUUUUUGGUCACACUUCUAGGCGUACAUAAAUUUGUUUUUAUUCGUCUAUUCGUGCCAGAAAACUUACUAGGUGCGAAUCACGUUUAAUGAUUCCGUGCCUAUAAUUUAUCAUGAUUUGACCUCAAAUCAGGUAGGAGUACCCGCUGAACUUAA
rnacentral:misc_RNA from 1 species